GCCGCGUGUGUGAAGAAGGCUUUCGGGUUGUAAAGCACUUUCAGUGGGGAGGAAAGGGUGUACGUUAAUAGCGUGCAUCUGUGACGUUACCCACAGAAGAAGCACCGGCUAACUCCGUGCCAGCAGCCGCGGUAAUACGGAGGGUGCGAGCGUUAAUCGGAAUUACUGGGCGUAAAGCGCGCGUAGGUGGUUAAUUAAGUCAGAUGUGAAAGCCCAGGGCUCAACCUUGGAACUGCAUUUGAAACUGGUUAACUAGAGUUUUGUAGAGGGUGGUAGAAUUUCAGGUGUAGCGGUGAAAUGCGUAGAGAUCUGAAGGAAUACCAGUGGCGAAGGCGGCCACCUGGACAAAGACUGACACUGAGGCGCGAAGGCGUGGGGAGCAAACGGGAUUAGAUACCCCGGUAGUCCACGCAGUAAACGAUGUCUAUUAGAAGUUUGUGGCUAUAUGCCGUGGGUUUCAAAGCUAACGCAUUAAAUAGACCGCCUGGGGAGUACGGCCGCAAGGUUAAAACUCAAAUGAAUUGACGGGGGCCCGCACAAGCGGUGGAGCAUGUGGUUUAAUUCGAUGCAACGCGAAGAACCUUACCAUCCCUUGACAUCCAGAGAAUCACCUAGAGAUAGAUGAGUGCCUUCGGGAACUCUGAGACAGGUGCUGCAUGGCUGUCGUCAGCUCGUGUUGUGAAAUGUUGGGUUAAGUCCCGCAACGAGCGCAACCCUUAUCCUUACUUGCCAGCGGGUUAUGCCGGGAACUUUAGGGAGACUGCCGGUGAUAAACCGGAGGAAGGUGGGGACGACGUCAAGUCAUCAUGGCCCUUACGGGAUGGGCUACACACGUGCUACAAUGGCAGAUACAAAGGGUUGCUAACCAGCGAUGGUAUGCGAAUCUCAUAAAGUCUGUCGUAGUCCGGAUCGGAGUCUGCAACUCGACUCCGUGAAGUUGGAAUCGCUAGUAAUCGUGGAUCAGAAUGCCACGGUGAAUACGUUCCCGGGCCUUGUACACACCGCCCGUCACACCAUGGGAGUGGGCUGCACCAGAAGUCAUUAGCUUAACCUUUCGGGGAUGGCGAUGACCACGGUGUGGUUCAUGACUGGGGUGAAGUCGUAACAAGGUAGCCCUAGGGGAACCUGCGGCUGGAUCACCUCC
rnacentral:rRNA from 1 species